UUUUUUGGGUUUGGUUUUGGUUGUUUUUUAUUAUUGGCAUAAAUAAUUCAUACACUGUCACCUCACCAAACACUGCACGAGAAACCACGGGAACAAAUGGCUAUCCAUUUCUGCAGGUCACAGAGAGUCGCACUCAGUCAGACAGCUGAAAUUAUAAAGACUUUCUUCAAGUGUAGAAAACGUUAUAAAUGUUACUGUACAAAUUUACAUCGGGGAGAUCCAUCGUGCCUUUCUCAGCCAUUUCCCUUGUCGGUUUGUGGGGUGAUAUUUUCUCUGCUGUUUUUUGCACCAGAUUCAACUGUUCUUUUCCAGUGACAAGAGUUUUGCAACAACGACAACAAAAUAGAUAUAUAUAUUUAUGUAUAUAUUUAUAAAAAGAAAAGGGAAAGAGAGAGAAAGGAAAUGAGAGUCAGCUCAUUCUGCAACGGUCAGAACUAACACGGAGAAAACAAAGCAGGCCAUCGAGUUCAGUUUGAAACUGUACAGGAGUUAGAGCUCGUUAUAUAUGUAUAUAUCUAUAUACAUACAUAUAGAGAUAUGUAUAUAUAUUUAUAUAUACCUUAUGUACAAGAAAAUGUAACAGCAUACUUUACAGGGACCAGAAAUUAAAGGCGGCUUUUGCAGCUGACCAAGCUUCCCAAAGAGUCACUAUAGAAAUAAAUAAAAUCAAAUAAAUUAAAAUAAAUAAAUGGUGAAGAAAGGAGGAAGGAAAGAAAAGGUGCACAGUAGAGCACUGGUUCCUGGAGGGCUCAACCUGGGGCUCCCCAUGGCACUUGGGGAUGCAGACAGCAUCUCAUGGCACCACCACCACAGCCCCCUUCUUAGCAUAGCCCAAGACCAAGCCAUAGACACCAACUCUUCCAUAGCAUCUAGCAAAGGUUGAGCAGCUCCUCCACCUCCAAGACAUUCAUUUCUGUCUAGUGCCUGUCUUAAACCUUAAUAAUCUCGGCUCCUGCCAUGGUCAAGUACUGGAUAAAAGACAUUGGGGCCGGACUCUGAGCAUCAUCCUCGAGAACAGGCUGAUCAUGGCCCAGCGAGGGUAAUUUGGGGCAAAAGGUGGAUAGAUGAAGAAGCAGGACCAGGGGAUGUAAUUUAGCAGCCAAAGGAGUACAUAGUGCUUUGGGGCCAUGCAGCACCACCACUUCCAUCAUUGGUGAUAGCCUCACAACCCAGACCCAAAUGCAGUGUUCCUCAUGAGCAUUGAAAAGAUGGGAAAAUACCCCGAAGGCAGCAGCAAGAGACUGGAAUGCUCAGGGAAGAGCCUCAGAGCAUGGCUGGAAGGAUGAAGCAGCUGAGAGCUGGAGGACUAGGACAGGAGAUCAUCACUGGGGCUGCUCCGCUGCAAGAGCCUGGGGAUGUACCCAGGGUUGGGGAUGGUUCCCUUCGUCUCAAGCUGCUGCUUACAACACCACAGUGCUAAAACUGGCUCUGCUCUCACCCGGCGCAUCUGGAAAUAACCCGUCUCUCCUCUAGCUCAUGCAGCUAAACUGAGCUACCGGAUGGACCAGCUCACUCCUUCGGAUCUCCUAUUAGAGGGCAUUGUGGAGAGCUUCUCCUACAUUCUCUCCCUGCUGAAGGGCUGGAUAUUUUUAAACUGGGGAAAAAAAUGAAGCUCACAAAGCGUGAGUCAAAAAAAAAAACCCAAGAAAAAACCACAACAAAAAGUAAGAUUCGUUGGGUUGGUUUUGUUGUUUUAAAUAAUUAAGACUUUCAGAAAUAAGAAGGCAUGAUGCAAAUCACACGGCUGCAUAAACAACCGCUGCUGCGCUGAAUGGAAGGGAAGGAGCUGCUCUUCUCAGCUAAUUUAUGAUAACUACAGGGCAGCUAUUUUUCCAUCGAUACUAUUGUGCGACAGUUCUGCUCGUGGUCCCAUUGAGACUCUACACUGAGGGAAGGGGGGAAAAGAGAAGGGAGAUGAGGGAAGAGCUGGCGAGAUUUGCUGGCUAUAGGAGCACUCAUCUCCUUUCAGAUGCCCAAAAUCCAGGGAGAAACACUUGGCUGAGGCUGCUGCAGAGAACCCUGUGCUUCUGGUGAGGAUCUGAUGCUGUGGGGUAACCAAACCAACAUGCUCAUCAUUAUUCUUGAGUGUUGGCUGAUAAAUAGAGCAGGCAUCUGCCAACUGCUGGUGAGACCCCAUGGGGGGAUACGUCAAGGUAAGACUUUCCAGCAAGUAGAGGGCUUGGGGCACAGGGAGCAAACCCACAGUAAGACUUUCAAGACUGAUGUUUGUACCUUCCACCAUAGAUCUGCACAAUGUCUAUCGGUCUACAGCACUUUGCCACCCCUGGGGUGGAGCAUCGCCCGUGGUAUCACCUCCUUCGUCUUCCCAAUACAUUCCACUUGCUCACCUUGGCAGUUCACUUAGAAACUAAAACCACUGAGUGAGGUCACCACCCUUCUGCAGCGAUCACUCCAUCAGAAUGUGGUUUGGACCAAGGAUUUCAUGGUGAGACCUCCCUGCAACCCCUGGCAGCUGAGAAAUCUGGUGAUGGGGCAUCCUCCCUCAGGACCCCAGGACCACCUCAGUGAAGGCAUUGGUGAAGCCUCAGAGAGACUCUGAGGCUUA
ensembl:lncRNA